rnacentral:lncRNA from 10 species
AGUCCAAAAGUUAGCUGCUUCAACCAUCAUGAAAGGUACAGAAACUCUAGGAUGAAUACACUUAGUAUUUUUUAUUAUUUAUUUAUUUAUUUUUUAGACGGAGUCUCACUCUGUCUGUCCCCCAGGCUGGAGUGCAGUAGUGCAAUCUCGGCUCACUGCAACCCCCACCUCCCGGGUUGAAGCAAUUCUCCUGCUUCAGCCUCUCAAGUAGCUGAGAUUACAGUACACUUUGUACUUUAAUAUGCAAACUGCCUGCCUGCUCCAGAGAAGCAGCCUUUGUUCCUCAGUUCAUCGCAACACUCAGCCUGUCAGUCAGGUUGUGGGAUCCCUCCUAUCCAGGAACUGUAUGCUGUUGUCCCGGUUCUGACACUUUCCCUCUGAGUCCUUGGACACCUUACCUAACCUCUUGGAAGCUCCUGUCUGUGAAGGGUGUGCACAGAGAGCUUCGGUAGCCUGCGAAGCAGCCAUUUUCACUUCCACGGAGCAGAUGCUGGCCUGGGUGCUGGAAUAUGGAAAUGAGGAAGAUCCUGCCUGAGGAUUUCAUGACAGUGCUGCGAUUACCGACGUGAGCCACUGUGCCCAGCCUCACUUUAAAAAAAAAAAAAGGUUAUGAAGCAUCUCAACACAAGACCUCCUUUGCUCAUCACAACCACCCAGUGAAGCAGGCAAGACAACAGAAACUCCCCACCUGUGAUAGAUGUGAGGCCUGAAGUCUCCCACAUACCCACGGCAGAUGCAACGCACAGCGGUGACCAAUGGACAUGGUCCAAGCAGACCCUUUCCUGAGACUUUCUAAAUGGAGCUGUGUGAGAAGAGUUCCUUUCUGUUUUGCCUCUGGAGCUGAAGGUUGAGAACUCAGAGCUGCCCGUGUUCUACCCUGUGAAAAUAAAGGCAAUCAAUUCACAGAGACAAGCAGAAACAAGGCGUCCAGAGCAAGUCCUUCACAUCACCCUGGACACCCUGGCCCUGAUUUCCACUCCCUGCCAGGCUUGUUUGUCCAAUUCUUCUUUUUGUUCCAAGCACCAUCCCAGCAGGCUUAGUUACCUGUAAGCAUUUGGUUAAUCUCUCUUCUCAGCUAGACCGUAGGCUCCCCGAGUGCAGAAACUAUGUUUAUUUUGGUCUCUGCUGGAUCUCCAGCACCUAAAUAAAUGUUUAUGGUUGACUGCAAGGCAGAUCUGUGUGGGGAAUGAAGAAGAGUAUUAAGACCUCCCAGAUGGGCUGCUGGAGGCCUGUCCAAGGUGGAACUUUGCAUGGUGAGAAAUGCAAUUCAGUAGGAAAACAAAGAACUCCUUCAUCCUCCUCUAGAUUCUGCAGGCAAGUGAUCAGCUCAAGGUGAAGGAUCUAAAACCUGAAAAGAGGCCAAAUGAUUCCUCAAAACCACGCAAGUACGAAGUAGCAGAGCGGAUCUCAAAUCCAGGUUGGUUUCCUUUUUACAACUGCCCAAGUCAUGAGUUCAUAGGGCCUGGAUGGCUGUACCGGAUUGCUCUCCAGCUGGUCUCUCUGCAUCCAGAAAUUUCUACAACCUACUGGGGUAAAAUCUUUCUCAACCCUGCUUUUCAUCAUCACAUCUUAAAUAUCUCGAGUUGGUUCCCUAUUGCCAAAAAAAAUCCAUUGUCCAUGUAGGGUUCUUCUGCCGAAACGAGGAAAGAGUGAGUUAAAUGUUGGUAGGUGAUAUAGAGAUAGUAAUUAGGCAAUAUAAUUCGAUGUUGUUGAAAGAGCUGAGCUAUGAAAUGCAUUGUGAUAAAGGGGCUGCCUGUGUAAGUAAAUGGGUAUAAUGAGGUGUAAAACUCCCUUUCUCUCUCUCUUUCUGCUUCAUAAGCCUUUCUGCUUCUCAAGUCCAGACCUGCUGUUUUUGGGGUUUCCUUCCAAUUUUUUUGCUGCUUCCCUGGGGCCUUGGCUCUUGGGCCUGCUGCCUCUUCCCACUCUACACCUUUGGAUUCCUUAUCUUUGGCUCCACCUUAUUGCUCCAUUCUCCAAAGACAAAUCCACAAGGCAUAGGAUUUUACAGAAUAUGGGGUUACAGAAACAGCAUAGGGAAGUGUAAAAGCCUAGAAGCUUCUUACAGACGCAGCCCCUUGUCUGUAGCUCCUGACUCCCACUUAAAUGUCUGUUGGAAGCACCCUGGGGUAGCAGAACCCAGCUCAGAAGAUGGGGCUUAUCCACCAUGCCUUUUCCUAACCUGACACCCACCCAGAUAAUCUUUUCAAUAUGCAAACUAGAGCGUAUCACCCCCUGCUCAGAGCCUUUCUGUGACCUCCCAUUUUGCUUCCCAGGACUCCUUGCUCCUUAGCCAGGUCUCCAGGUCCUCCGUGAUCAGGUCUCUGCUCUUCUGCAGCCUCAUCUCUGCCAUUCUUCACCUUUUGUGCUCCAACCCAAUCUGGUUUUCUUCUCAUGCUUUGAACACCCCAAGUCUGUCUGCUUCAGGAGCUUCGUACUGGCUAAUCAUUCACCACAGCAUACUCCCAUCUAUACGGCUGGCUCUUAUAUUAUGGGUCUCAGCUAAAAUGUCAUCCCUUCAAAGAGACCUUCUUGGACCACCCCCGCCAUUCUCUAUCCUAUUUCUCUCUUUUAUUUUCUUUGAAGCACUUACCCACUUUCAGAAACUAUCUGGCUUGCUCAUGUGUUUGUCUCUAGAUUGUCUACUUCCCCUCCUAGACUGUACUCUCCACAAGAGAGCAAAGCUGUGUCUGUUGCAUUCACUGUUGUCUUCCCAGAAGCAAGCAGCAUGCUGGAGACCCUCAAAUACAUGUGAAAUGAAGGGACACCUUGUGUUAUUUCACCUGUUUCCACCUGGUUCCCAAGUGGCAAGCUUGCAUUGAGGUUACAAAGUGGCAAAGCUGGGAUAUCACAUGAUGUCACCAUGAUGCUAUAUGAAAUGUAACAUUAAUUGAGUACCUAUGUGACCAGUUCUUUAAUUCUGUAAGUGAACUCUCAAAAAACCCUAGGUAAGUAUUAUCAACUCGAACUUUAACGGAUGAGGAAACUGGAAUUUUUUAAAAAAUGACUUAACCAAACAUCACAGAGCUGUAAACCAGGAUUUGAAUGGGUGAGCUGCACUCAGCCUUCAUCUCAAGUCAGUUUGCCUCUUUCUCCAAGAAGCCACAGUUGAUCCUGACCACAUCACAUAUGAGUUGCCUGGAUUGCAGUCAUUCAUUCACUAAGCAUCUUUUAGGAGGUCACAUGCCAGGCACCGUGUUAGGUAAUGAUUUCUCCAAGUCACAGGAGCCGUGGUUCUGACUUUAGAAAGUUUCUCAUCUGAUGGGAGGGCAGGCAAGUAAAUCAGUAAGGGUGGUCCCUGUCGGGACACUGGUUGAGAAAUACCCAGGAACACUCUGAUUGAGAAAUACCCAAAGUGCAAAGUGACAGGGACUAGAGGCAUCUCCACUGGACCAGAGAGCUCUGGAUUCGUCUUGAGCUAAGUCUCUGGAGGUAGGUGUCAGCUACAAGGAGAAAAGCUGUAUAUUUUGAGAUAUGGGAUGCAGGGCCUUUUAGUUCCAUAAAUAAGAGAACUAUGGUGUGAAUACCACAUGCCCUGGGCUGAACUAAGUGGGCUCUAGGGGAAGGUAUACUGGGCAGGGAGUUUGGAGAACUGGUUUCUGUCUAAUCCUUCUCUAACUCUGUGACCUUGAAUGCAUCAUUUCCCCUCUGAGUCUCAGAUUCUCUUUCUGGCUGGCAUUUAAUGAAACCUAAAUAUUCUAGACCUUCUACUUGUUCCAUAAGUGCUCAGUCCUACACUCACUCUCCUCUGGCACCAAUAUACUGAUUACUCAUUUUAUGCCCAGCAGAGCACUGCGUGUUUUGAAAUAUACAAAUAGUGGGAAACGAAAUCUUUGUUCUGGAUGCAGUUAUAAUUUGGAAAGCGAGGAAAUAAAUUAUAACAAGGGGAAAAAACAGGGUUGCCGUGAGGAGUAAAUGAGCUGUUGCAUGGGAAGCACUUAGCAUGGGGCCUGAUAAAUAGUAAGCCCUUGGUAAUAAUUACAUCUUCCGUGAUGCUAGACACAGAGGGAUUGAAAUGCAUAACAAUAGAGAUGAAACACGAAGAGUGAUAAAUGAAGAUUGAGUGUGCACACCUUCUGGAGGAGCCCUGAUUGAGUAUUUUAAAAUACUACUAAAGUCAUGCCGUGUGACUUCUGAAGCUAGCUCCUAAGAAGUCCUUGCAGCUUCUGCCUGCGACUCUUAGAACACUUGCUUUGAAGGAUGCCAGAUGCUGUCUUAAAAGUCUGAGCACUCUGAAACCAUCAUGCUGUGAGGAAGCCCAAGCUAACCACAUGGGCAAAAAAGAUGCCCUCUGACUGCCACCAUUUGAGACACUCUAAUUAAGAACUGCCUCAUUGAGCCCAUGAGGCCCUGUGAAUGAUAAUAAUAAAUUGUUUUUAACCACUAUGUUUUUGGAUUUGUUAUAAGUUUAUAGAUAACAAGAAAAAGUUAUAUUAGCAUGGUAAUAAAAUUAUGGAUAUGUGUAAGUUUGGUGUUUUGUUUCUUUUUUUUUUUUACACUAAGCCUAUAUUACUGUUGUAAUUUAGGAAAUCACUUGUUUUCCUCCAGCACUUCAAUGUAAGAGUGGCACUACUUAGAAUGUACUUCUUAAGAUAUGGCU